rnacentral:tRNA from 1 species
GGAAGGGUGGCUGAGCCCGGUUUAAAGCACUCGACUCGAAAUCGAACGUUGGAGAAAUCUGACCGGGGGUUCGAAUCCCCCCCCUUCCGCCA